rfam:Lactobacillus plantarum subsp. plantarum citrulline biosynthetic gene cluster (carAB operon and argC, J, B, D, F-ccl operon) and usg and dsg partial sequences
CAAUACGUGGUUCGUAACCAUCCCACGUUAAAAAAACUAGGAGGAA